rnacentral:rRNA from 1 species
GUGAUAUUUUUAAACGGCCGCGGUAUCCUAACCGUGCAAAGGUAGCAUAAUCACUUGUCCCCUAAAUAGGGACUAGUAUGAACGGCUAAAUGAGGACUUUGCUGUCUCUUUCCGCCAGUCAAUGAAACUGAUCUCCCAGUCCAAAAGCUGGGAUAACAACAUAAGACAAAAAGACCCUGUGGAGCUUAAAACCAAAACCACCAAAAUGUCCACUUGGUUUUCAGUUGGGGCGACUUCGGAACAAAGACAAACCUCCGAAAAUAAUGGAACCCUCCAUAUCAAGACCUACACGCCAAAAUAAUCUUAAACUUGACCCAGACCCCUUCAAGUCUGACCAAUGAACCAAGUUACCCCAGGGAUAACAGCGCCAUCUUCUUUUAGAGUCCAUAUCAACAAGAAGGUUUACGACCUCGAUGUUGGAUCAGGACACCCCAAUAGUGCAGCCGCUAUUAAAGGUUCGUUUGUUCAACGAUUAACAGUCCUACGUGAUCU